GAUGAAGAACGCAGCGAAAUGCGAUAAGUAAUGUGAAUUGCAGAAUUCAGUGAAUCAUCGAAUCUUUGAACGCACAUUGCGCCCCCUGGUAUUCCGGGGGGCAUGCCUGUCCGAGCGUCAUUACAACCCUCAAGCUCAGCUUGGUGUUGGGCCCCGCCGCCCCGGCGGGCCCUAAAGUCAGUGGCGGUGCCGUCCGGCUCCGAGCGUAGUAAUUCUUCUCGCUCUGGAGGUCCGGUCGUGUGCUUGCCAGCAACCCCCAAUUUUUUUCAGGUUGACCUCGGAUCAGGUAGGGAUACCCGCUGAACUUAAGCAUAUCAAUAAGCGGAGGA
rnacentral:misc_RNA from 1 species